CUGUAAAUUGUACCCUAUUAAAAUAUAAAAAUUUCAUUAACUAAUAUUAAUUUGUCAAAGUAUCAGUUGAGUAUCUUCUUCCACCAUGUUUUGUGUUUUUAAUUGUUUUAGCCAUUUUCAAAACAGUAGAAAAUUUUCUUCUCUUUACUUAGAUUUGAAACAAUAAUUUUAUUGGAUGUAGUAUUUCAUUUAACUAUACUUUAUUAUCUUGAGUUUUAAAUGUUUUCUUGUACUUUCUUUUUUGUUUUAAUAUAGUUUUAGUUAGAUUUCAGGCUUUUAAAUGCAUAUUUUAAAAUAAAAAUAUGUGUAAUAUAGGCAUGGGAGUGACAAGUUAGAACUCACCCACACCAUAAUUCCAACUGUAAAUUAACACAACUAUGGGAAUAUAUAUAUACAUAUAUAUAGUUUUAAAAUAUACAUGCCUUUGACUUAGAUUCAUCAAUAUUUUAAUUUUAAACCUUUAUUAUACAAUCUGU
rnacentral:lncRNA from 1 species